rnacentral:rRNA from 1 species
UGGAGCGCGGCGAGGGCGAGGGACCAGUGGCCCUGCCGCUGGAGCUCGGCCAUGGCGGCGAGGAGAUCGGCCCGGAGGAGGCGGCCGAGGGACGCGGAGGCCGCGCCGCGGGCGGCCGACGGGGAGCGGUCGGCGGCGGUGAGGCGCUUGAGGGACUGCACGGCGUGGAUGGCCUCCGUGGAGAGGGAGCGGCCGCGCUGGAGCGGGCCGCGGUUGUCGCGCGGGCCGCAGGUGAUGGCCCCGGCCCUAGGCCUGGCCGCGGCGCGCGGGGAGGCCGUGGGCGUCGUGUGCGGCAGGAAGAGGAGGGACGCCAUGGGAGGCGAGUGUGGGAGCUGA